GGUUUACACUGUAUGUUUCUGACAGGAUACUCUGUGAUAGAAGGAAAUCUCACACUGACAGACCGGAAACUUUUUUACUUUUUAGUAUUUUUAUUUUAUUGCUGCUGACUUAAUUCAAUUACUAAAAUCUGGACAGAUUUUAAAAUACUAGCCAUCGUACAUUUGCUGACUUUGUAAAUAGUUACAGGAAAAAAACACACUAAACAACUGGAUGAUACACAACCAGACUUUCAAGUCACUCCGAACACGACAAAGUCACACAGAAAUAUAUGCCUCCUUGCUGAGAUGUGUGGUUAAUGAAAAAAAAAAAAGUGGUUCUAAAAUCAGUUUAAAAUAUCAGUCAUGUUUGAUAUCCUCCAACUGGAUGGAUUCAUUGUUUGAAGCUAAAAAAUCAGAGUCUGUCACCAUAAUACACUUUGUGACUUUCUAUGAAAUCUGUCAGUUGUUUAUUUGAUAAUGGUAAAUGAUGUUGUAUCUAUAGUUGGCCAUAUCAAAGUUUAUAACUCAUAUUCCUCUGUCUGAAAAUUAAAGUGAAAUUUAUUUGGUAGAUAUUUUAAAUCAAAUAAGCAAACAGCAUUUUAGAGGCAAAUACACAUUCACAUACAGAUCCUCUGAGACUGUAUUUAUUAUUGUAAUGGUCUCGUUCUCAAACAUCUUCCUGUAUUGUAAUGAUGAUCUGUUGAGUGUCAGACACACACUGCUGUCUUGAGAAGAAAAGAUGUUCAUGAAACUGUAUGAAGACUGUAGACCUGAAGAAAACAAAGAUAAAACAAGUGGAACACAAACACAUACAUUUCAUCUCUUGUUCAAAUAUCUGCUGUGCUGUUUAUAAAUAUCAUGUAUAUUUAUAGCUGUUAAAAUGACACAAAUGGAUGGAACAAAAGUGAUUUUUACAGAGCAGUAGUUUGAUUGCACAACAUGUUUCCAUCAGGAAGUGAGUCAGUGAUGUUUGCUGGGGGCCAGGGACAGACAUGAUGUGGUAAACAUGAUGGAGGUGUGUGUCGAGUUCAACAGACUUACACAGGCUGUUACUGUGUGUUUGUCACAGUCAGAGAUCAUCUUCACCUGUACAGAUCAUGCAGAGUUGUAGAAUUUAGGUUAAAUGUAUAACAAUGUACAGAAUUCAAGAACACAUUCCAUAAAAGCUGAAUAAUAACCUGUUCUGUGGUAAAUAAACUUUCUGCCUCCUGGUCUGUUUCACAGAGAUCAGAGUUUGUCUUCAUCUGCUUCAGUUUACUGUUACAGUGUUG
ensembl:lncRNA